AUUCUCCUUUCCCUCCUCUCCAUCUCCCUAUUGCAUUGUGUCUGACUGAUUUUCAGAGCACCUUCGCUGUUUCCCCCUUCUCGUUCCCUUCUCAUAAAAUAUCUAGACAGGAAGGAGGUGGCUGCAGAGGCUGAACAAUCUCAUAUUCUGCCUGCAAUGUCAUCGUUUCUUUCCCCCAUUUUAGGGGGCUGAAGUUGCCCAGCAAGGGAUGCAGAGGAGCUGGAAAAGAAGGGGGGAGCUCUCCAGAGGCAGCUGCGGUCAGGGGCAGGGACUGCCGCCAGAUGUGCCUGCCUUUCUGGGCUUUGAUGAGAAAGGGGCAGCAGGAGGAAAUAUUGGGAGACAAAAGCCCCGGUUUAAAUGAUCAUUUUCUUUAUUUAACAUGGCAGCAGACACUCUCUGCGUAGGAUCAUCAUGCCGAGCAUAAACUGGACUUUCCCACUUGCCUGGCAGGAGUCACACAGAUCCCUGCGUGCUAAAUGAACAUCUGAGGUUUGAGAUGGGGCCCAAGAUGCUUUUCUGACAAGUUUCCUGGUGAUGCAAUGUUGCUGUUGGGGAAACCUCCAUUUGACCCUUGAAUCCUGACUAUUGGAGAAACAGCACCAUAUUUUGGAUACUGAUUCAGACCAUAUACAGCCUUCUGGAGAAUCUUGCCCCAGUC
rnacentral:lncRNA from 1 species